rnacentral:misc_RNA from 1 species
UCCGGCUUAUCACCGGCAGUUUCCUCAGAGUGCUCAGCCUAACCUGUUAGCAACAGAGGACGAGGGUUGCGCUCGUUGCGGGACUUAACCCAACAUCUCACGACACGAGCUGACGACAGCCAUGCAGCACCUGUGCACCUCCCACCCGAAGUGAAGAACCCCUUUUCGGGGGUUCAUAGAGGGCAUGUCAAAUCCUGGUAAGGUUCUUCGCGUUGCCUCGAAUUAAACCACAUGCUCCACCGCUUGUGCAGGCCCCCGUCAAUUUCUUUGAGUUUUAACCUUGCGGCCGUACUCCCCAGGCGGAUAACUUAAUGCGUUAGCUGCGCCACCAAAACCCCAUGGGCCCUGACAGCUAGUUAUCAUCGUUUAGGGCGUGGACUAC